GACGAACGCUGGCGGCGUGCCUAAUACAUGCAAGUCGAACGCAGUGGGGACGGGUUGGUAACACGUGGGUAAGAUGCCCAUCAGAAGGGAUAAAACUUGGAAACAGGUGCUAAACCGAUAGUGAUGGAUAGACACGCGGGUGAUUAGCUAGUUGGUGAGGUAACGGCUCACCAAGGCGACGAUGCAUAGCCGAUCUGAGAGGAUGAUCGGCCACACUGGGACUGAGACACGGCCCAGACUCCUACGGGAGGCAGCAGUAGGGAAUAUUCGACAAUGGACGAAAGUCUGACCGAGCAACGCCGCGUGAGUGAAGAAGGUCUUCGGAUCGUAAAACUCUGUUGGUAGAGAAGCGUUACCUAAAGAGGAAGCCACGGCUAACUACGUGCCAGCAGCCGCGGUAAUAC
rnacentral:rRNA from 1 species